GNANUANCAUUACNAGCGAAACUGCGAAUGGCUCAUUAUAUAAGUUAUCGUUUAUUUGAUAGUACCUUACUACAUGGAUAACCGUGGUAAUUCUAGAGCUAAUACAUGCUGAAAAUCCCGACUUCGGAAGGGAUGUAUUUAUUAGAUUCAAAACCAAUGCCCUUCGGGGCUCCAAUGGUGAUUCAUGAUAACUUCUCGAAUCGCACGGCCCCGCGCCGGCGAUGGUUCAUUCAAAUUUCUUCCCUAUCAACUUUCGAUGCUACGGUAGUGUCCUAGCAUGGUUGCAACGGGUAACGGGGAANUUUUGAAUGAACCAUCGCCGGCGCGGGGCCNGAUUCGAGANGUUUCAUGAAUCCCAUUGGAGCCCCGAAGGGNUUGGUUNGAAUCUAUAAAUAAUCCUUCCGAAGUCGGGAUUUUNGNUGUUUAGCUCUAGAAUUACCGGNUAUCAUGUGUNGGUAUAUCAAUANGGAUAACUUAUAUAAUGAGCAUUGNGUUUCNUUNGUAUUGUUAUACUUAGAAUGCUGGUUAAUCUUUGAGAAAGNUAUGACA
rnacentral:rRNA from 1 species